UAGGGAAUAUUGGGCAAUGGGUGAGAGCCUGACCCAGCCAUGCCGCGUGCCGGAAGACGGCCCUCUGGGUUGUAAACGGCUUUUAUACACGAACAAAAGGGUUCUGCGGAACAGAUUGCGUGUAGUGUAUGAAUAAGCACCGGCUAACUCCGUGCCAGCAGCCGCGGUAAUACGGAGGGUGCCAGCGUUGUCCGGAUUUAUUGGGUUUAAAGGGUACGUAGGCGGACGGCUAAGUCCGAGGUGAAAGCCCACCGCUCAACGGUGGAGGUGCCUUGGAUACUGGUGGUCUUGAGUGCCGUAGAGGUAGGCGGAAUUCAGGGUGUAGCGGUGAAAUGCAUAGAUACCCUGAGGAACACCGAUAGGGAAGCCAGCUUACUAGACGGUGACUGACGCUGAGGUACGAAAGCGUGGGGAGCGAACAGGAUUAGAUACCCCCGUAGUCC
rnacentral:rRNA from 1 species